CAGCAAUGUCACCUGCACCACUAACUGCUUAGCACCCCUGGCCAAGUUCAUCCAUGACAACUUUGGUGUCAUGGAAGGACUUAUGGCGACAGUCCACACAUCGCUGCCACCCAGAAGACUGUGGAUAGCCCCUCCAGGAAACUAUGCCAUGAGAGUCGCGGGGCUCUCCAUAAUGCCAUUCCUGCAUCUCCUGGCACUGUCAAGGCUAUGGGAAAUGUCAUCCCUGAGUUGAACAGGAGGCUUACUGGCAUGACGUUUCAUGUCCUCACUGCCAACAUGUUAUUUGUGGACCUGACUUGCCUAUGUAAAUCCUGCCAAAAAUGAUGACAUCAAGAAAGUGUUGAAGCAGCAUCGGAGUUCCCCUUCGAGGGCAUCUUGGGCUGCACUGAGAACCAGCUUGUCUCCUCUGACUUUAACUGCGACACCCACUCUUCCACCUUUGAUCCUGGGACUGGCAUUGCCCUCAAUGACCACUUUCUCAAGCUCAUUUUCUGGUAUGACAAUGAAUUUGGCUAUAGCAAAAGGGUGAUCGACCUCAUUGCCCACAGGGCCUUCAAAGAGUAAGAUCCCUGGACCACCAGCCCCAGCGAGAGCAUGAGAGGAAAACAGAGGCCCUCAGCUUCUGGGGAGUCCCUGCCACACUCAGUGCCCCACCACAAUGAGAAUCUCCCCUCCUCACAGUUUCCAUGCAGACCCUCUGAAGAGGGAGAGGCCUAGGGAGCCCCACCUUGUUGUGUACCAUCAAUAAAUUCUUCUGCGUUCAGCC
rnacentral:lncRNA from 1 species